UACAGCCACAUCACGUUGAAGCAUUGGUUUCCAUAUGAUCACCAAAGUUAAGCAAUGUCAAGCCUGGUCAGUAGCUAGAUGGGUGACUGCUUGGGAAUACCUGGUGAUUGUAAG